rnacentral:rRNA from 1 species
UACGUAGGGGGCAAGCGUUGUCCGGAUUUAUUGGGCGUAAAGAGCGUGUAGGCGGCUUUACAGGUCCGUUGUGAAAACUCGAGGCUCAACCUCGAGACGCCGGUGGAAACCGUAAGGCUAGAGUCCGGAAGAGGAGAGUGGAAUUCCUGGUGUAGCGGUGAAAUGCGCAGAUAUCAGGAGGAACACCCGUGGCGAAAGCGGCUCUCUGGGACGGUACUGACGCUGAGACGCGAAAGCUAGGGGAGCGAACAGG